rnacentral:rRNA from 1 species
GAUGAACGCUAGCGGCAGGCCUAACACAUGCAAGUCGAGGGAGAAGCCCUUUCGGGGGCAGAAACCGGCGCACGGGUGCGUAACGCGUAUGCAACCUACCUUUCACAGGGGGAUAGCCCGAAGAAAUUUAGAUUAAUACCCCAUAAUAUUAUUGGAUGGCAUCAUUUGAUAAUUAAAACUGCGGUGGUGAAAGAUGGGCAUGCGUCCUAUUAGCUAGUUGGAGUGGUAACGGCACCCCAAGGCUACGAUAGGUAGGGGUCCUGAGAGGGAGAUCCCCCACACUGGUACUGAGACAGGGACCAGACUCCUACGGGAGGCAGCAGUGAGGAAUAUUGAUCAAUGGUCGGAAGACUGAACCAGCCAUGCCGCGUGCAGGAAGAAUGCCUUAUGGGUUGUAAACUGCUUUUAUAUGGGAAGAAUAAGGCGUACGUGUACGUUGAUGACGGUACCAUAUGAAUAAGCAUCGGCUAACUCCGUG